UACGUAGGGUGCGAGCGUUAAUCGGAAUUACUGGGCGUAAAGCGUGUGCAGGCGGUGAGCUGUGUCCGAUGUGAAAGCCCCGGGCUUAACCUGGGAAUGGCAUUGGAAACUGGCUCGCUGGAGUGUGGCAGAGGGGGGUGGAAUUCCGCGUGUAGCAGUGAAAUGCGUAGAGAUGCGGAGGAACACCGAUGGCGAAGGCAGCCCCCUGGGCUAACACUGACGCUCAGGCACGAAAGCGUGGGGAGCAAACAGG
rnacentral:rRNA from 1 species